GUGCCAGCCGCCGCGGUAAUACGUAGGGGGCGAGCGUUGUCCGGAAUCAUUGGGCGUAAAGCGCGUGUAGGCGGCUUGGUAAGUCCGGUGUGAAACCUUGGGGCUCAACCCCAAGCCUGCACUGGAUACUGCCUCGCUUGAGUCCGGGAGGGGAGAGCGGAAUUCCUAGUGUAGCGGUGAAAUGCGCAGAUAUUAGGAAGAACACCGGUGGCGAAGGCGGCUCUCUGGAACGGUACUGACGCUGAGACGCGAAAGCGUGGGGAGCGAACAGGAUUAGAAACCCCCGUAGUCC
rnacentral:rRNA from 1 species